rnacentral:sRNA from 1 species
AUUCAUGCACUCUUCCAUCUUUUUGCCAUUGUGCCAGCUCAAUUUAAAUGUAUCUGCUCUGUAUCUGUUCAAGUGGAGAUAAUCCAUGCAAAUCAGGAGCCGUGGCUCUCAAUGCCUGGUUCACAGAGAGGACUCAGCUUGAGGAGGUCACUCGUUCACAGCCGCUCCUCCCAUUAUAUUUUUCCCCUUAUUGCAGAACUGCUGUAUGUAUACAGCGACUGAAAGGACUCAAUUUACUGCAACUGCUGCCUGGCUUUACUUACAACUUUUUUUUUUUUUUUUUUUUUUUUUUUUUUUUUUAUAAAGGAACUUACCUCCAUCUGUCUUUUCAAGGUUACAGACUACUUACUCUAAACUUCACAAAUGGUUCUGAAGAGUAUGGAGCCUACGUAGAUUCAUAAGUUACAAGAUCACUGCUUGGCAAUACUAGGAGAUGUGCAUCUAAAAUGACAAACUGAUCCUGGCACUUGCUACUUAUUACAGAGCCCAAUGUUUCCAAAGGACAUUAAUUUUGAUUUCUCCAAUGAAGGCUUGUGGCUGUCCUUAUGCUUUACAAAACAUUACCAAAUCAGAGCCGAAAAGAAAACUGGUAUUUAUGGCACAAUGAAAAAUUUCAUCUUUCCCAGAAUGAUAUGAAGAUGAAUGAUGCAGACUGAUGGUUUUGAUGAAGCUGGGCAUUUAUAACUAGAUUCAUUAAGGAAUACAAAGAAAAUAUUUAAAGGGAUCAAUAAUGGUGUCUUCUGGUUGCAGAAUGCGAAGUCUGUGGUUUAUCAUUGUAAUCAGCUUCUUACCGAAUAUAGAAGGUUUCAGCAGAGCAGCUUUACCAUUUGGGCUGGUGAGGCGAGAAUUAUCCUGUGAAGGUUAUUCUAUAGAUCUGCGAUGCCCGGGCAGUGAUGUCAUCAUGAUUGAGAGCGCUAACUAUGGUCGGACGGAUGACAAGAUUUGUGAUGCUGACCCAUUUCAGAUGGAGAAUACAGACUGCUACCUCCCCGAUGCCUUCAAAAUUAUGACUCAAAGGUGCAACAAUCGAACACAGUGUAUAGUAGUUACUGGGUCAGAUGUGUUUCCUGAUCCAUGUCCUGGAACAUACAAAUACCUUGAAGUCCAAUAUGAAUGUGUCCCUUACAGACAUUCACUGAACAAUGCCAGGGAUACAAGUGCCAUGGAUACUCUACCGCUAAAUGGUAAUUUUAACAACAGCUAUUCGCUGCGCAAGAGUGGCUAUAAUGACAGCGUGCAAGUUGUGGACUGUGGACUAAGUCUGAAUGAUACUGCUUUUGAGAAAAUGAUCAUUUCAGAGUUAGUGCACAACAACUUACGGGGCAGCAGCAAGACUCACAACCUUGAGCUCACGCUACCAGUCAAACCUGUGAUUGGAGGUAGCAGCAGUGAAGAUGAUGCUAUUGUGGCAGAUGCUUCAUCUUUAAUGCACAGCGACAACCCAGGGCUGGAGCUCCAUCACAAAGAACUCGAGGCACCGCUUAUUCCUCAGCGGACUCACUCCCUUCUGUACCAACCCCAGAAGAAAGUGAAGUCCGAGGGAACAGACAGCUAUGUCUCCCAGCUGACAGCAGAGGCUGAAGAUCACCUACAGUCCCCCAACAGAGACUCUCUUUAUACAAGCAUGCCCAAUCUUAGAGACUCUCCCUAUCCGGAGAGCAGCCCUGACAUGGAAGAAGACCUCUCUCCCUCCAGGAGGAGUGAGAAUGAGGACAUUUACUAUAAAAGCAUGCCAAAUCUUGGAGCUGGCCAUCAGCUUCAGAUGUGCUACCAGAUCAGCAGGGGCAAUAGUGAUGGUUAUAUAAUCCCCAUUAACAAAGAAGGGUGUAUUCCAGAAGGAGAUGUUAGAGAAGGACAGAUGCAGCUGGUUACAAGUCUUUAAUCAUACAGCUAAGGAAUUCCAAGGGCCACAUGCAAGUAUUAAUAAAUAAAGACACCAUUGGCCUGACGCAGCUCCCUGAAACUCUGCUUGAAGAGAUGACUCUUGACCUGUGGUUCUCCAGUGUAAAAAAGAUGACUGAACCUUGCAGUUCUGUGAAUUUUUAUAAAACAUACAAAAACUUUGUAUAUACACAGAGUAUACUAAAGUGAAUUAUUUGUUACAAAGAAAAGAGAUGCCAACCAGGUAUUUUAAGAUUCUGCUGCUGUUUAGAGAAAUUGUGAAACAAGCAAAACAAAACUUUCCAGCCAUUUUACUGCAGCAGUCUGUGAACUAAAUUUGUAAAUAUGGCUGCACCAUUUUUGUAGGCCUGCAUUGUAUUAUAUACAAGACGUAGGCUUUAAAAUCCUGUGGGACAAAUUUACUGUACCUUACUAUUCCUGACAAGACUUGGAAAAGCAGGAGAGAUAUUCUGCAUCAGUUUGCAGUUCACUGCAAAUCUUUUACAUUAAGGCAAAGAUUGAAAACAUGCUUAACCACUAGCAAUCAAGCCACAGGCCUUAUUUCAUAUGUUUCCUCAACUGUACAAUGAACUAUUCUCAUGAAAAAUGGCUAAAGAAAUUAUAUUUUGUUCUAUUGCUAGGGUAAAAUAAAUACAUUUGUGUCCAACUGAAAUAUAAUUGUCAUUAAAAUAAUUUUAAAGAGUGAAGAAAAUAUUGUGAAAAGCUCUUGGUUGCACAUGUUAUGAAAUGUUUUUUCUUAUACUUUGUCAUGGUAAGUUCUACCCAUUUUCACUUCUUUUCCACUGUAUACAAUGUUCUGCUUUGACAAGUUAGUCUUUAUUACUUACAUUUAAAUUUCUUAUUGCCAAAAGAACGUGUUUUAUGGGGAGAAACAAACUCUUUGAAGCCAGUUAUGCCAUGCCUUGCACAAAAGUGGUGAAAUCUAGAAAAGAUUGUGUGUCACCCCUGUUUAUUCUUGAACAGAGGGCAAAGAGGGCACUGGGCACUUCUCACAAACUUUCUAGUGAACAAAAGGUGCCUAUUCUUUUUUAAAAAAAUAAAAUAAAACAUAAAUAUUACUCUUCCAUAUUCCUUCUUCCUAUAUUUAGUAAUUAAUUUAUUUUAUGAUAAAGUUCUAAUGAAAUGUAAAUUGUUUCAGCAAAAUUCUGCUUUUUUUCAUCCCUUUGUGUAAACCUGUUAAUAAUGAGCCCAUCACUAAUAUCCAGUGUAAAGUUUAACACGGUUUGACAGUAAAUAAAUGUGAAUUUUUUCAAGUAGUUAACAUGUGAA